rnacentral:rRNA from 1 species
CCGGUAAACGGCGGCCGUAACUAUAACGGUCCUAAGGUAGCGAAAUUCCUUGUCGGGUAAGUUCCGACCUGCACGAAUGGCGUAAUGAUGGCCAGGCUGUCUCCACCCGAGACUCAGUGAAAUUGAACUCGCUGUGAAGAUGCAGUGUACCCGCGGCAAGACGGAAAGACCCCGUGAACCUUUACUAUAGCUUGACACUGAACAUUGAGCCUUGAUGUGUAGGAUAGGUGGGAGGCUUUGAAGUGUGGACGCCAGUCUGCAUGGAGCCGACCUUGAAAUACCACCCUUUAAUGUUUGAUGUUCUAACGUUGACCCGUAAUCCGGGUUGCGGACAGUGUCUGGUGGGUAGUUUGACUGGGGCGGUCUCCUCCUAAAGAGUAACGGAGGAGCACGAAGGUUGGCUAAUCCUGGUCGGACAUCAGGAGGUUAGUGCAAUGGCAUAAGCCAGCUUGACUGCGAGCGUGACGGCGCGAGCAGGUGCGAAAGCAGGUCAUAGUGAUCCGGUGGUUCUGAAUGGAAGGGCCAUCGCUCAACGGAUAAAAGGUACUCCGGGGAUAACAGGCUGAUACCGCCCAAGAGUUCAUAUCGACGGCGGUGUUUGGCACCUCGAUGUCGGCUCAUCACAUCCUGGGGCUGAAGUAGGUCCCAAGGGUAUGGCUGUUCGCCAUUUAAAGUGGUACGCGAGCUGGGUUUAGAACGUCGUGAGACAGUUCGGUCCCUAUCUGCCGUGGGCGCUGGAGAACUGAGGGGGGCUGCUCCUAGUACGAGAGGACCGGAGUGGACGCAUCACUGGUGUUCGGGUUGUCAUGCCAAUGGCACUGCCCGGUAGCUAAAUGCGGAAGAGAUAAGUGCUGAAAGCAUCUAAGCACGAAACUUGCCCCGAGAUGAGUUCUCCCUGACUCCUUGAGAGUCCUGAAGGAACGUUGAAGACGA